AUGAGUUUCUCUGGCGCUGUGCAAUGGUGGGAUGAGUGGCAGCUGCGUAUUCUGGUGCUGGGCAGCCUCUUCAUCCAGUGCUUCCUCUUCUUCUCCUCCGUGGUGCGCAGGUGUGCUCUUCCAUCUUGGCUCAGACUGUUUAUGUGGCUUGCCUACCUAGGCGGGGAUGCUCUGGCAAUAUACGCCCUGGCCACCCUCUUCAACCGCCACAAGCAGCUGCCCGCCAAUGGGAGCGGCCUCGAGGUCCUGUGGACGCCUAUCCUCCACAUCCACCUCUGGGGCCAGCACCCGAUGACUGCCUACAACAUCGAAGACAACGAGCUGUGGGCGCGGCAUGCCAUAACCGUGGUGUCCCAGGUCACGGUGGCCCUC
rnacentral:rRNA from 1 species